rnacentral:tRNA from 1 species
CCCUUAACCAAAGGAGCUAGUCCAAGCCAAGACUUCUA